rnacentral:tRNA from 1 species
GGGGCUAUGGCGCAGCUGGUAGCGCACCACACUGGCAGUGUGGGGGUCAGGGGUUCGAGUCCCCUUAGCUCCACCAAUG